AUGGAUAUGUUUCAUAAAGCCUUAGGGGACAUGUUUUCCAAAUUGCCUAUGAAGGUUAGUCGUGUAAGUAAUAAUAUAACUAGUGAUCCGUAUGUCACAAUUUCGUUAUCUGGUGCUGUAAUUGGGAGGACUUUUGUCAUCAAUAAUAGCGAGAAUCCAGUAUGGAUGCAGCAUUUCAAUGUUCCUGUUGCACAUCAUGCUGCAGAGCUGCACUUUGUCGUCAAAGACAAUGAUGUUGUUGGCUCACAGCUUAUAGGUGCUGUGGGAAUCCCAGCAGAGCAGCUGUGUUCUGGCAAGAAAAUUGAGGGCACUUUUCCAAUUCUAGCCGCCAAUGGGAAGCCUUGCAAGCCUGGAGCCGAAUUGAGCUUAUCAAUUCAGUUUACCCCAGUACAGCAAAUGGCAAUUUAUAAGCAUGGAGUAGGUUCAGGUCCUGAUUACAAUGGGGUUCCGGGAACGUACUUUCCUCUUAGAAGAGGAGGCAAAGUUACUCUCUAUCAAGAUGCACAUGUUCAUGAUGGUUGCCUACCUGAUUUGAAGCUUGAUGGUCAUGUUCAGUAUGAGCAUGGGACUUGCUGGCUUGACAUCUUUAAUGCCAUCAGUCAGGCUCGGCGUUUGAUUUACAUUACUGGGUGGUCUGUAUACCACCAGGUUAGAUUGGUUCGAGAUGGUCAUGAUGGAAAGGAUUGUACAUUGGGUGAUCUUCUCAAAAUCAAAUCUCAGGAAGGUGUAAGAGUGCUGCUCCUUGUAUGGGAUGAUCCUACUUCUAGGAGUUUCUUGGGAUAUAAAACGGAGGGCAUCAUGAACACCAGUGAUGAGGAAACUCGCCAUUUUUU
rnacentral:misc_RNA from 1 species